rnacentral:rRNA from 1 species
AGGGAAUCUUCGGCAAUGGGGGCAACCCUGACCGAGCAACGCCGCGUGAGUGAAGAAGGUUUUCGGAUCGUAAAGCUCUGUUGUAAGAGAAGAACGAGUGUGAGAGUGGAAAGUUCACGCUGUGACGGUAUCUUACCAGAAAGGGACGGCUAACUACGUGCCAGCAGCCGCGGUAAUACGUAGGUCCCGAGCGUUAUCCGGAUUUAUUGGGCGUAAAGCGAGCGCAGGCGGUUAGAUAAGUCUGAAGUUAAAGGCUGUGGCUUAACCAUAGUACGCUUUGGAAACUGUUUAACUUGAGUGCAAGAGGGGAGAGUGGAAUUCCAUGUGUAGCGGUGAAAUGCGUAGAUAUAUGGAGGAACACCGGUGGCGAAAGCGGCUCUCUGGCUUGUAACUGACGCUGAGGCUCGAAAGCGUGGGGAGCAAACAGGAUUAGAUACCCUGGUAGUCCACGCCGUAAACGAUGAGUGCUAGGUGUUAGACCCUUUCCGGGGUUUAGUGCCGUAGCUAACGCAUUAAGCACUCCGCCUGGGGAGUACGACCGCAAGGUUG